GAGGACCCAUAAAUCUUUUCACCACUCUGGAAAGGCCUCGAGCACGUGUCUAGUAUACUAAGGAGGCAGGACGGAGUAUAUACAUUUAGCGAAUACAGGGAGGCAGUUGAUUAUAGAUAACGAUUAUGUAAAACUCACGCCAAUAAUACUAAGCGCUGCAAAGAAAAUUCGCCGAUUUCGCUAUGCAAGGAUAUAAAACUGCCGAUGCAUAUGGGACAGGCAAGACUGCGAAACUCGUUGACAGAUCAAGUGACCUGAGGCUUGUUGCGGUUUGGAGUAAGAACUGGAUAAUUGGCAGAUGGAUUUCGUUGGUCUUUCUAGUAUCUUUUCUGCUGGUAGUGGAUGUACUUUGCUUCCAUCUUCUCCGUAAAUACAACCCAGAAGACACAGUUUAUGGUUUGUUUAUAAUCGGGCUUGGAAGCCUGGUUGGCUUUGGUUUUCUCGGUUCGCAAGCACAAGAACUAAUUCAAGAUGCAAAGACCGUGAAUGAUGUGCCUUCCUGGUGUUAUGGAUUGGCAAGCUCUAGAGGUAAUUAAAGAUUCAAGGGCAGACUGGACUAAGAUAAAAAAUGUCCUUGGUGAUGCAAGACAUUCUAAUGAUAUGCAUGUUAUGACGUAAAUAAAAAAGUUUAAUCCAAGUAAGUGGCUUAGUUUGAAUAGACAUUCUGCAUGUACAAAUGUUUGAAUGUAAUAUUCUUCAAACAAAGUUUGUAUGACUCCCGCUUGUAUUAUAUAUAUAAUAUAUGUGUGUGUGUGUGUGUGUUUGUUUUUUCUAAUAUUUUUGGAAGAAAAUGUUCUAAUAUCUUGUAAGAGAUACAUAAAUUUAACUAGUUGGGCUAGCCGUCGAUGUUGGCUAAUGGUUCAUGGUUGUGGCUAUGGGUUGAGAUGCACUGUUGCACUACUUGGUUAUCUGAUUUGACUCGUGUUAGGUUGCUAUAUGGAUUUAUAUCCUUUAGGUCAUGUCAACGAGAGAUUAUGAGAACAUGAUCUCACGGGGCUUGGCCUAUCAGUUGGAUUAACUGAGUACUAUAUGGUACUUGGCAGGUUGAAGUAUUGUUUAUGGAAUGCGAAUGUGCAGGUUAUAUGGGGGACUCACUUUUUUAUGUUGCAUGAAUAUCCAUUCUACUUGUUUGACCAUCGUGCUUUUCGGUCAGAAACUAUGAGUAGUUGCUUAUUGUCAAGAACAUUUCAAGCUGGCUUCCAGUUAACAAAUCAAUUACAAUUGCUUGUUAUUCUGCAAACUAUUUUCUCCCAUUCCUUCAGGGUUAGAAGGCAUGUUGUUGAAAGAGCAUGAGCAUAUCAUGGAACAUUUUGAUCUAUUACUAUUACUUGGUGCUUGUUGCGGGAAACAGUCUCUGUAUCUUCAUUCAACUACUUGAGAGCCUGGACUCUCUGACAUGAACCUGUGAAUUUAUGUCCUUUUAAAGAAUCUGUAGAGGAGAUAGGUGGUUGAUUGUGCAACCCAUUUCCGCUACUUAUGAAAUUCACCCAUUUCCGCUACUUAUGAAAUUCUGUCACUUCUGCAAAUCCUUCAUCUAAGUUUAUUUGGAAGGAAAACUGUUUUUAGUUAUUCAUUAUGCCUUCUCUUCACUCACGUGGAGAAUUUUUAUGAUUGUGCUCUCAUCAGAAUAUGUUAUGAUGAAACUUCUUUUGAAGUUGGACUGGUUUGAGCAGUCGGAGAUUGAUUUGCAGGAUCAGAAGUGGAGAAAUUUUAUAAUUGUGUUCUCACUAGAAUUUGUUUCCUAUUACUUUUCUAAAGUUGGUCUGGUUUUCUUCGAAGUUGGACUCGUUUGAGCAACCGGAGAUUGACUUUCAGGAUUAGAAUUGUGCUUAACCAACUUCACUAUAAGGCUUGACAAUAUCUGCUUUGUCAGAAUCUGAACUGCAUUUCUUAAUAGUGACAUCUUCGUUUCUAUAAGCCACUCUUCUUCGGCCAUAUAUCCUGCGAAUCUGCGGUUCGAUACGUUUGCCCAGCUUUUUGGCAAUAAAUUCUGGUGGAGGGAAAGUGGACGGUCCACAUUUGCAGGGAUCACUUAUGCGAGACCCUAUUCACCAAUAACAAAAAUCAAGGGGAGUCGGCGUAAUUCCCUUUAAAGCACAAACAAAUGAAUAUGACAUAUUGAUCAAAACUCAUCGAAUAUUGAGGAGAGUUGAGCUUUAAUAUGGUUCAUUGGUCGAAACUUAUUGAAGAUUGAGCAGAGUUGAGCUUUAAUAUGGCUUUGGUCGGACUUGGUUAUCUAAAUGCUGUUCCUUUACUAUUGGUACAUAUGAUGGAAGUUCAAAUCAUCUGAAUUGCAUCUAUCUUCAUCGUUGGGGUUAUCAGAAAUUUACUUAUCCCCACCUAGCUUUGCUUUGCAGUUGCGUGAUCUGUCUCUUACUGCUAUGAACUUGCACAAUAUCUGUGAUGAUAACUCUGUUAGAGAAAGAAGUGACCUGUUGUCGUGUCCGGUUCUAUUGUUUGAUACGUAUUUUACCUGUGUAGUGAUUAAAGUCGGAUAAGUUGUAAGAGCUAAAGGGCUCAGGGUAGAAAGCUACAAUUGAUGGGUCAAUAUACUUGCACCUGGUUCGAAUGCCUUGCCUCACGUGCCUAAUCAGCUGAGGUGUGCGACUUAAUUGAAGCUGUUGUGCAUCGUGCAAAGUGAGGAGGGAUGCGUGCCUUAUAUACUGAUUCAAACUCAUAGUGACAGGGUUAUGCUUUGUUCCUACACUGUUAUAAUCCGACAUC